rnacentral:RNase_P_RNA from 1 species
GCAGGCAGGCCGGACGGCCGCUGCCGGGGAGGCGCAAGCUGAACCGGGAGAGGAAAGUCCGAACUCCGCAGGGCAGUGUGCCGGAUAACGUCCGGGAUCGCGGCGUCAAGGCCGCGAGACGGCUAGUGCCACAGAGAAUAUACCGCUCGCCUCGGCGAGUAAGGGUGAAAAGGUGCGGUAAGAGCGCACCGCUCCGACGGUAACGGCGGAGGCAUGGUAAACCCCACACGGAGCAAGACCAAAUAGGGAGGAAAUUCGCGGCUCGGCCCGAUCGGCUGCGGAUGCGUGCCGGCCCGGCGCGCCAACGCGGGCUACAUGACUCGCGCAAGCGAAGCAUGGCGGAAACCUCCGGGUAGGUCGCUCGAGCGCGCGCAGCAAUGCGCCGCCUAGAGGAAUGGCCGUCCUCGACAGAAUUCGGCUUACAGGCUGUCUGCCACG